rnacentral:misc_RNA from 1 species
GAUGAAGAACGCAGCGAAAUGCGAUAAGUAAUGCGAAUUGCAGAAUUUCCGUGAGUCAUCGAGUCUUUGAACGCACAUUGCGCCCCCUGGUAUUCCGGGGGGCAUGCCUGUCCGAGCGUCAUUGCUGCCCUCAAGCACGGCUUGUGUGUUGGGCCCCGUCCUCCGAUCCCGGGGGACGGGCCCGAAAGGCAGCGGCGGCACCGCGUCCGGUCCUCGAGCGUAUGGGGCUUUGUCACCCGCUCUGUAGGCCCGGCCGGCGCUUGCCGAUCAACCCAAAUUUUUUAUCCAGGUUGACCUCGGAUCAGGUAGGGAUACCCGCUGAACUUAAGCAUAUCAAUAAGCGGAGGA